rnacentral:rRNA from 1 species
AUGUCAAGUUCAGAAAAAUUAUCUCUCACAGAAGGACAACUCUUAAGCCAAGAUGAUAGUACAAAGUAUAGAAGUCUAGUAGGUGCACUCCAAUAUCUUACACUUACUAGACAUGAUAUCUCAUUUGAUGUCAACAAAGUCUGUCAGUUUCUUCAUGCACCCACUACAUAUCAUUGGACUGCUGCUAAACGUAUUGUUCGCUAUGUCAAGAAUACUGCCAACAUUGGUUUGAAUUUCAGCAAGUCAUCCUCUACACUUUUAAGUACUUUUUCAGACUCUGACUGGGCAGGUUGUCUGGAUGAUAGAAGGUCCACUACUGGUGGCUUUGCAAUUUUAUUUGGCCCAAACUUAAUAUCAUGGUGUGCAAGAAAACAAGCCAUUGUUUCCAGGUCCAGCACAGAGGCAGAGUAUAAGGCACUGGCAAAUGCCACAGCUGAGGUUAUAUGGGUAUAA